rnacentral:rRNA from 1 species
CACGUAGGGUGCGAGCGUUGUCCGGAAUUAUUGGUCGUAAAGAGCUCGUAGGCGGUGUGUCGCGUCGGCCGUGAAAACCUGCAGCUUAACUGUGGGCUUGCGGUCGAUACGGGCAUCACUGGAGUUCGGCAGGGGAGACUGGAAUUCCUGGUGUAGCGGUGAAAUGCGCAGAUAUCAGGAGGAACACCGGUGGCGAAGGCGGGUCUCUGGGCCGAUACUGACGCUGAGGAGCGAAAGCGUGGGGAGCGAACGGG